CCUACGGGUGGCAGCAGUGGGGAAUAUUGCACAAUGGGGGAAACCCUGAUGCAGCGACGCCGCGUGAGUGAAGAAGGAAUUCGGUAUGUAAAGCUCUAUCAGUAGGGAAGAAAAUGACGGUACCUGUGUAAGAAGCCCCGGCUAACUACGUGCCAGCAGCCGCGGUAAUACGUAGGGGGCGAGCGUUAGCCGGAUUUACUGGGGGGAAAGGGAGCGUAGACGGCAGUGCAAGUCUGGAGUGAAAGGCGGGGGCUCAACCCCCGGACUGCUCUGGAGACUGUACGGCUGGAGUGCAGGAGAGGUAAGUGGAAUUCCUAGUGUAGCGGUGAAAUGCGUAGAUAUGAGGAGGAACACCGGUGGCGAAGGCGGCUUACUGGACAGUAACUGACGUUGAGGCUCGAAAGCGUGGGGAGCAAACAGGAUUAGAUACCCGUGUAGUC
rnacentral:rRNA from 1 species